CUUGAAUGUCCAGAGUUUACAAGGUGCACCUCAAUGCACCAUGAACUAUCUUUUUUUUUAGAGUUCACAGAAACAAUUUGUUUACAUAAACUCACGGAAAGUGAACGCAGGUCCACGCCGGUGUCUGCGGGAUAGCUGGAAGACUAUUCCUUUUUUGUUAUUUCUCCAUCAUCUCUGACUGAAAAAAGUGACCAUUGUCUCUGAAAAUGCUGCAAACUACUGGAGCUGUGAGGUGUUACCUACCAGAUGUUUUAUUCUCGGUCCACUCAAGGAGACAUUUAGAUUUGGAGAGGUUGCGAAUGACCAGCCACGCAUGACUGCUGGAGCAGUCGCUGAGGUUAAUUAACUAUCUGGAAACUAUUUCGGCCCUGCCAAGUUUGUGUCACUUCAGGUCCAGGUGAAACAUUUGAUCCAUGCUCCCUGAGGUAAACCUGUCCCUGGGAGGUGCUUCUGUCUACCUGUCACCUCUGUCCCUGAGGCGAAAUCCAACAUCUAAGCACAACAGAGUCAGAGGCAGCAUCUGUAGGUUUUUUUGGGGGGGGGGACACACCUGUGUUUUUGAACAUUUUCCCAUUUACUAUAAAUGCUGUAUGUUGUGAAGCAUUUCUCAAAGCACACCGCAACUUUUUAAAUGAAUCAAUGUGUUUUUCAUGCUUUCUAGGGAGCCACCGUUUACUCUUUAAUGUCAGCUCAAUUGAAAAUUUAUUUGGAGAUUCUGAUAUUUCAUCUAUUAAAGCACAUAUUUUUAGACAUCA